AUUCUGCCCAUGCGGGGAAGGAUGAGAAGCUUCGACUAAAGUUCGGCUCGAGCGUCAGCGAGAGAGCGUUGCCGCAGGCAACGACCCGAAGGGCGAAGCGCGCAGCGCUGAGUAAUCCUUCCCCCACCACCA
rnacentral:sRNA from 1 species